rnacentral:rRNA from 1 species
UACGGGGGGGGCAAGCGUUGUUCGGAAUUACUGGGCGUAAAGGGCUCGUAGGUGGCCAACUAAGUCAGACGUGAAAUCCCCAGGCUUAACCUGGGAACUGCGUCGGAUACUGGAUGGCUUGAAUUCGGGAGAGGGAUGCAGAAUUCCAGGUGUAGCGGUGAAAUGCGUAGAUAUCUGGAGGAAUACCGGUGGCGAAGGCGGCAUCCUGGACCGACAUUGACGCUGAUGAGCGAAAGCUAGGGGAGCAAACGGG